AUACGUAGGGUGCAAGCGUUAAUCGGAAUUACUGGGCGUAAAGCGUGCGCAGGCGGUUUUGUAAGACAGAGGUGAAAUCCCCGGGCUCAACCUGGGAACUGCCUUUGUGACUGCAAGGCUGGAGUGCGGCAGAGGGGGAUGGAAUUUCGCGUGUAGCAGUGAAAUGCGUAGAUAUGCGGAGGAACACCGAUGGCGAAGGCAAUCCCCUGGGCCUGCACUGACGCUCAUGCACGAAAGCGUGGGGAGCAAACAGGAUUAGAUACCCUGGUAGUCCACGCCCUAAACGAUGUCAACUGGUUGUUGGGGAUUUAUUUUCUCAGUAACGAAGCUAACGCGUGAAGUUGACCGCCUGGGGAGUACGGCCGCAAGGUUAAAACUCAAAUGAAUCGGCGGGG
rnacentral:rRNA from 1 species